UAGGGAAUCUUCGGCAAUGGACGAAAGUCUGACCGAGCAACGCCGCGUGCGUGAAGAAGGUUUUCGGAUCGUAAAACUCUGUUGUUAGAGAAGAACAAGGACGUUAGUAACUGAACGUCCCCUGACGGUAUCUAACCAGAAAGCCACGGCUAACUACGUGCCAGCAGCCGCGGUAAUACGUAGGUGGCAAGCGUUGUCCGGAUUUAUUGGGCGUAAAGCGAGCGCAGGCGGUUUCUUAAGUCUGAUGUGAAAGCCCCCGGCUCAACCGGGGAGGGGCAUUGGAAACUGGGAGACUUGAGUGCAGAAGAGGAGGGUGGAAUUCCAUGUGGAGCGGUGAACUGCGUAGAUAUGUGGAGAAACACCAGUGGCGAGGGCGGCUCUCUGGUCUGUAACUGUCGCUGCGGCUCGAAAGCGUGGGGAGCAAACAGG
rnacentral:rRNA from 1 species